GGGUUGUGAGGUUAAGCGACUAAGCGUACACGGUGGAUGCCCUGGCAGUCAGAGGCGAUGAAGGGCGUGCUAAUCUGCGAUAAGCGCCGGUAAGGUGAUAUGAACCGUUAUAACCGGCGAUACCCGAAUGGGGAAACCCAGUGUGAUUCGUCACACUAUCAUUAACUGAAUCCAUAGGUUAAUGAGGCGAACCGGGGGAACUGAAACAUCUAAGUACCCCGAGGAAAAGAAAUCAACCGAGAUUCCCCCAGUAGCGGCGAGCGAACGGGGAGGAGCCCAGAGCCUGAAUCAGCAUGUGUGUUAGUGGAAGCGUCUGGAAAGGCGCGCGAUACAGGGUGACAGCCCCGUACACAAAAGCGCAUGUGCUGUGAGCUCGAUGAGUAGGGCGGGACACGUGGUAUCCUGUCUGAAUAUGGGGGGACCAUCCUCCAAGGCUAAAUACUCCUGACUGACCGAUAGUGAACCAGUACCGUGAGGGAAAGGCGAAAAGAACCCCGGCGAGGGGAGUGAAAAAGAACCUGAAACCGUGUACGUACAAGCAGUGGGAGCCCCACCACCAAAGCAUUCUCUGGUGUUGAAGGC
rnacentral:rRNA from 1 species